rnacentral:rRNA from 1 species
GUGGAUUAGAUACCCUGGUAGUCCACGCCCUAAACGAUGAUUACUCGAUGUGUGCAAUACACCGUACGCGUCUGAGCGAAAGCAUUAAGUAAUCCACCUGGGGAGUACGACCGCAAGGUUGAAACUCAAAGGAAUUGACGGGGGCCCGCACAAGCGGAGGAGCAUGUGGUUUAAUUCGAUGAUACGCGAGGAACCUUACCAGGGCUUGAAAGUUAAGGAAUGAUGUAGAAAUAUGUCAGUCAGCAAUGACCUGAAACUAGG